rnacentral:rRNA from 1 species
CCUACGGGUGGCAGCAGUGGGGGAUAUUGCACAAUGGGGGAAACCCUGAAGCAGCAACGCCGCGUGGGGGAUGAAGGUCUUCGGCGCGUAAACCCCUGUUGUCAGGGAAGAAAAUGACGGUAUCUAACGAAUAAGCCCCGGCUAACUCCGUGCCAGCAGCCGCGGUAAUACGGAGGGGGCAAGCGUUACCCGGAUUCACUGGGCGUAAAGGGGGCGCAGACGGGAUGGCAAGUCAGCAGUGAAAGCCCAGGGCUCAACCCUGGGACUGCACUUGGAACUGCGUGGCUGGAGUGCGGGAGGGGCAGGCGGAAUUCCUGGUGUAGCGGUAAAAUGCGUAGAGAUCAAGAGGAACACCCAUGGCGAAGGCGACCUGCUAGACUGCAACUGACGUUGAGGCGCGAAAGCGUGGGGAGCAAACAGGAUUAGAUACCCGUGUAGUC